rnacentral:lncRNA from 1 species
UCAUCGUCGCUAUCUGUGAAGAAAUCAGCCAUUGUUGGAGGAAGCGAGAAUGAAGAGCGAAUUUCAGCAGUUGCCGGUGGGGCUAGGGGCGGACCUGCAGUGGGAGAAAAGUAUGUCUCCUUCUCCAUUAUCAUGUUCUUAAAUUUUUAGUUGAGGCUAUAAUAAUAAGUUUUAGAAAUAUUUGAGUGGGGGUUAUAGAAAGUUUGAGGUUGUACGCAGUGUUCUUUGAAAAUCAAUUUUGAAAAUUUAUUAAUAUUGUAAAUUAUUAAAUGGGGCUAUGAGG